rnacentral:rRNA from 1 species
AUUGAACGGUGGCGGCAGGCUUAACACAUGCAAGUCGAACGAGUGGCGGACGGGGGAGUAAUGACUGGGAACCUGCCUGAUGGAGGGGGAUAAAAACUGGAAACGGUAGCUGAUACCGCAUACCAUCGGAUGUGCCCAGAUGUGAUUAGCUAGUAGGUGGGGUAAAGGCUCACCUAGGCGACGAUCCCUAGCUGGUCUGAAAGGAUGACCAUCCACACUGGAACUGAGACACGGUCCAGAGUCCUACGGUAUGCAGCAGUGGGGAAUAUUGCACAAUGGGGGCAAGCCGGAUGCAGCCAUGACGCGUGUAUGAAGACGGCCUUCGGGUUGUAAAGUACUUUCAGCGGGGAGGCGUUACCCGCAGAAGAAGCACCGGCUAACUCCGUGCCAGCAGCCGCGGUAAUAC